CCUACGGGCGGCAGCAGUGAGGAAUAUUGGUCAAUGGACGCAAGUCUGAACCAGCCAUGCCGCGUGCAGGAAGACGGCUCUAUGAGUUGUAAACUGCUUUUGUACGAGGGUAAACGCAGAUACGCGUAUCUGUCUGAAAGUAUCGUACGAAUAAGGAUCGGCUAACUCCGUGCCAGCCGCCGCGGUAAUACGGAGGAUUCAAGCGUUAUCCGGAUUUAUUGGGUUUAAAGGGUGCGUAGGCGGUCGGAUAAGUUAGAGGUGAAAUCCCGAGGCUCAACUUCGGAAUUGCCUCUGAUACUGGUCGGCUAGAGAGUAGUUGCGGUAGGCGGAAUGUAUGGUGUAGCGGUGAAAUGCUUAGAGAUCGUACAGAACACCGAUUGCGAAGGCAGCUUACCAGGCUACUUCUGACGUUGAGGCACGAAAGCGUGGGGAGCAAACAGGAUUAGAUACCCUAGUAGUC
rnacentral:rRNA from 1 species